UAAGUUACCCAACCCAAACCUUAACCUAACCCUACCCAAAUUGAUAACGUUCAAUGCUUUAUGUGAAAAAGGUACACCCAACAACCAAAACUCCUAUACCUCCCACUCUCUCCCUGCAGCCCCAGCCCCCCAGCCUGGACCGUCCUCAGACUCCGCCUCGUCCCAGACCAGUGACCCCCCCACAGACCACUCUCCCAUCCAAACACAGGCCACACCCCCCAGCACCAGGGAGGAUGACUCGGGCUUAUGCACCAGGGCUCUGUCUCCCUGUCCAUCCGGAGAUGCUCCACCUGAUUCUCCCCAGGCCCAGAUCUGUCCACAGGAAGACAGUUAGAGAACUCUGGGAGAAGGGACCUCUGUGACCGUCAGGAGGAUAGAAGAAGAUGAGAGGAGAGGAGGACAGCGGACUGAGAUAUGGAGGAGAGGAGACUCUGGACUCCUAUGUCCCUCCUAAUAACUUGAUUACACGGAUCUCUGUUCUGGAGAAUGCUGAUAUUGGCAGCCUAAAGCAGCAAUAUCAUAGGAUUGGCUUCUUUCCUGAGCUGGACAGCACAACACUCUCCUCACAUGCUGUCUUUCCCCCCCAGCCAAUCGGAAGCCCUUUCUCCCAUGAAGUGAACUAUGAUCUUUGACCAAACUGUAGCAGUGGGUCGUUACCACGACAACUUCCUGCCACAGGUCAGUGGGCGGAGACACCUUAUCUAUCAUGUGGCCUGGGAGGACCAAUCAAACUGCAUGGUCAGGAUGAGGAUUCUAAUGGGUUCUAAGGAUUAAAUCAUUUUUGGGGUGAUUUUGAGGAGGAAUGGUGUCCUAUGUGGUUAUACCCUUCGUUUGGAGAACUGCCACGUGACUCAAGAGUACUCACUGUGUAGAACAGAUGGAUUUGCAAAAUGUUUUCAAACAGAUGACUUGUUCCAUUGGCAUGAACAGACUAUGUAUUGUGGAUCCAGCGAAACUGCGAGACAACUGAUCUCCAUAGCUUCAUAGCUUCCUUUUCAAUGCUUAAAGAUAAAAAUAUAAUUUUUAUUUUGUAAGCUGCGACUUCUGAGUUGACGCUUCUGAGCAUUUUAUGGAUAACGAAAACAGCUUUGAGGCAUCAGUCAAAAUAAUUCCUGUUUGCCAAACUUCUAUUUUGUAAAUAAGAUUUCCUCAAGACCCCUUACACCGGAAUCUCUGUGCCAAAAGAAAGGUCUGUCGUCUGCCUCUCUGAUACAACCUACCUGUGGCUCUCUCAACUUUAAAGCAAUGCCACACCAGCACCUCUGUCUGUAUUGUCUGGAUAUUUGCUUUGCUUCUUGACAUUUUCUUUUUUUACUUUCUGUUUCUGUGUUGGGUUUGGUCAGUCAGUCUGUGACAUAUGAACUGUGAAUCUGUGUUACAUAGCCGUUGAAUCAAAGCAACGAUGGGGAUACCUGCUACCUACGUAUGACGUAACUCACUCUUUUGAAAAUAAAAUGACCAUCCUCACACACAAAAUAAAAGAUCCACAGGCCAAUAAAGUCCCUGUCACUUUUACCUGGGGGGGGGGGGGUGUAACCUUGCUUUUAACUGUUUUAGAUUACUGAACAGGUGUACUACCCAUCCUUCAAUGUUUGCUUUCAAUCUCUUUGUUAACCUACUCAACUGCUACCAGACCUGGGUUCAAAUACUAUUUAAACCUUCCAAAUACUUUUGAGCAUUUGCUUAAGCCUGCCUCGAGUGCCAUGUUGGCGGGGUUUGCACUUUAGGGACUUUUCUAUUGAUUCCAUGGCAACGGGCAAGCUCAAUCACACACCGCUAAAGUAUUUGAAAUGAUUUGAAAUAGUAUUUGAACCCAGGUCUGCUACACAUGGGUGGUUUCUAGGAAUCAAACCAAUAAGCUAGUUGUGACGGCCCAACCAGCAGUAGACUCCAGAGUGCAUUACUAUGCCUUAUUAUUAUCGGUUGUGUUGCGUUGUCCCGUCACUGUUAUAUCGUCAUGUCAUUGUAUUACAGUAACACGGUUGAUUCAUGCAACUAAAGGUUUGGGGCAUCUGGUAGGUCUGUCUGCUCCACGGAGUUACACAUGGCAAAACGUGGUGACUUUAGAAGAUUAUGAAAGAAUAGAGAUAUUAUUGCUUUUUACUUCUAGACUAUGAUGAUAAUAACUGUAACCCUGCUCGUAUAAGAAAAUGCUCAAUUAAAUGGUCCAACGAUAUUUUGUAAAUUUGAUUUAGGAAUUCCAACAGUCCUGAAAAGAGAAAAGGACUUUUGUACGCAUAUUUCUUCCCAUUCACUGUGCUACUAACCCCGCUGUUCAGUUACAAAUAAAAUAUCAUGUGAUUCCCACUUUGCUCCUGAAUAUUUGAUUAUGCUGCCAGUCAAACAUUUUUUAGCACUCUAAACUGAAUAUCACUCAAGCCUUGCUUAUUUACACCUUGCACUAACAUGUACGUUUUGUGAUCUGAUCCAUAUGUAUGCAGAUUAUUUGACAGAUAUUCAUUCAAAUAUACAGUAUGAAUGUAUUUAUUUAUUUUAAGACAGUUACUGAUGUCAUAAGUCAAAGACCUAUCUGUCAAUGAUUUUAGAGGACGGUAUAAUGAUGAUUUAAAUGGUUUACCGUCCAGAUCUGUUUACACUUGAUUGAUAUCCAGACACAAUGCGUGUCUAGCCCCAUUUAUUCCUGGUUAUAACAUGCGCCCUUGUCCUGCACUUGUACACAUUCUGACUGUGCCCACAUUUUUAGACUGGAGUAGAUGAUUAAAAGACACAUUGUGAUCAGAUCUUCCUGACCACCCUUGGAGGUAGUCAGGGACCUAUUGUUUCUGGAUAUCAAAUCAAGUGUAAACAGACCUGGAAGUUCAAACCAUUCUGCUUCACAGGUUGGCAUUUAUUGGGAGGUCUCAUGUACUGGAGGCAGCUCUUCAGAGCGGUCACUAGCUGGCACAGCCACAAAGUCAAAAAAUCUGAUUUUAAACCUUAACCCUAACCUUAACAACACUGCUAACUCUAAUGCCUAACCCUAACCUUGAAUGUAGACCAAAAAGCAAAUUUGUGUUUUCAUUAAUUUUGACAAUAGUCAAUUUUGACUUUGCAGCUGACCCA
rnacentral:lncRNA from 1 species